AGUGGAAUUGCUGGGUCACAUGGUAAUCCUACGUUUAACUUUUUGAGGAACUGCCAAACUGUUCUCCACAGCGAUUGUGCCAUUUUACAUUCUCACCAGCAAU
rnacentral:pre_miRNA from 1 species